AGAAAGGUAAAGACAGGAAGAGUAUUUUUAUGAAAGCCUUACAGAGAGUGAAUGGCUGGUGAAAAUUCACAGGUGAAAUAAAAAGAAGAUGGCCCUGGAACCGUUUUUCUGAAUAGUCAGGAAAAAACGUAGCAUCGGCGUUAACGAUGUUAAGGUGUACAGCAAGUACAUAAAUAAAGGUGGUACCACGAACUUUCGUCCUUUGG
rnacentral:ncRNA from 1 species